rnacentral:rRNA from 1 species
UGCGGAAGGAUCAUUAAAG